GCUAGCGGCAGGCCUAAUACAUGCAAGUCGAGGGGCAGCAGGUUCGAGUUUACUUGAACGCUGGCGACCGGCGCACGGGUGCGUAACGCGUAUGCAACCUACCCACUACAGGGGGAUAGCCAUUGGAAACAGUGAUUAAUACCCCAUAAUGCAUUGAUCUCACCUGGGAUUAUUAGCUAAAGAUUUAUCGGUAGUGGAUGGGCAUGCGUAAGAUUAGCUAGUUGGUAGUGUAAUAGACUACCAAGGCGACGAUCUUUAGCGGGUCUGAGAGGAUGAUCCGCCACACUGGUACUGAGACACGGACCAGACUCCUACGGGAGGCAGCAGUAGGGAAUAUUGGUCAAUGGGGGCAACCCUGAACCAGCCAUGCCGCGUGCAGGAAGACAGCCUUCUGGGUUGUAAACUGCUUUUAUCAGGGGGGAAUUACCGGGAUGCGUCCCGGGGUUGACAGUACCUGAUGAAUAAGCACCGGCUAACUCCGUGCCAGCAGCCGCGGUAAUACGGAGGGUGCGAGCGUUGUCCGGAUUUAUUGGGUUUAAAGGGUGC
rnacentral:rRNA from 1 species